GGUUCAGUGGUCUAGUGGUUAUGAUUUGUGCUCCACCCUCACAAGGUCCCCGGUUCGACACCGGGCUGAACCC